GUCACCAUGAAGUCCGUUUCUUCUUAUAUAUUCUGAAAAGUUUAUUAUUCAUAUUCAUCACUCACUCACGGAAGCUGUACUCGUUAGUUACGCAUCUUGUACAGCGUGCCAACCAAAUACACAACAGAGAAUCGCCCUAAAAAUGCAAGGUGUCAUUUUCAACUUCGUCUCUUUCGUAUAUUAUGAUUUCCUUGGGUAAUUCCUGCCCGUCACUCACUCACAAAAGCUGUACUCAUGUUUUACUCUCUAAUACUCUGUUCCAAAUAACUGCACAAUAAAGAAACGGCCUAUGUAAUGUUCUCUAAAAAUGCAAGGUGUCACUUUCAACUUCGUCUCUUUCGUAUAUUAUCAUUUCCUUGGGUAAUUCCUGCCCGUCACUCACUCACAAAAGCUAUACUCAUGUUUUACCAUAUAAUACUCUGUUCCAAAUAACUGCGCAAU